GCACCGGCUAACUCCGUGCCAGCAGCCGCGGUAAUACGGAGGGUGCGAGCGUUAAUCGGAAUUACUGGGCGUAAAGCGCAUGCAGGUGGUUUGUUAAGUCAGAUGUGAAAGCCCGGGGCUCAACCUCGGAACUGCAUUUGAAACUGGCAGACUAGAGUACUGUAGAGGGGGGUAGAAUUUCAGGUGUAGCGGUGAAAUGCGUAGAGAUCUGAAGGAAUACCGGUGGCGAAGGCGGCCCCCUGGACAGAUACUGACACUCAGAUGCGAAAGCGUGGGGAGCAAACAGGAUUAGAUACCCUGGUAGUCCACGCUGUAAACGAUGUCUACUUGGAGGUUGUGGCCUUGAGCCGUGGCUUUCGGAGCUAACGCGUUAAGUAGACCGCCUGGGGAGUACGGUCGCAAGAUUAAAACUCAAAUGAAUUGACGGGGGCCCGCACAAGCGGUGGAGCAUGUGGUUUAAUUCGAUGCAACGCGAAGAACCUUAC
rnacentral:rRNA from 1 species